rnacentral:rRNA from 1 species
CCAUUUAAAGUGGUACGCGAGCUGGGUUUAGAACGUCGUGAGACAGUUCGGUCCCUAUCUGCCGUGGGCGCUGGAGAACUGAGGGGGGCUGCUCCUAGUACGAGAGGACCGGAGUGGACGCAUCACUGGUGUUCGGGUUGUCAUGCCAAUGGCACUGCCCGGUAGCUAAAUGCGGAAGAGAUAAGUGCUGAAAGCAUCUAAGCACGAAACUUGCCCCGAGAUGAGUUCUCCCUGACCCUUUAAGGGUCCUGAAGGAACGUUGAAGACGACGACGUUGAUAGGCCGGGUGUGUAAGCGCAGCGAUGCGUUGAGCUAACCGGUACUAAUGAACCGUGAGG